UACGAAGGGGGCUAGCGUUGCUCGGAAUUACUGGGCGUAAAGGGCGCGUAGGCGGCUAGUUUAGUCAGAGGUGAAAGCCCAGGGCUCAACCUUGGAACUGCCUUUGAUACUGGCUAUCUUGAGUUCGGGAGAGGUGAGCGGAAUGCCGAGUGUAGAGGUGAAAUUCGUAGAUAUUCGGCGGAACACCGGUGGCGAAGGCGGCUCACUGGCCCGAUACUGACGCUGAGGCGCGAAAGCGUGGGGAGCAAACAGG
rnacentral:rRNA from 1 species